UACUUGAGCGAGUAACGAGAUCUUCCACGAACCCGAACAAAGAGACUGGCUAAUCGACGCUGUAGAGUGUACCUAGAAGUGACGGAGUAUCUGGAUAAAAAAUAAGAGAGCAGUUAAGAUGUACAGACGAGCAGGUAACGUACGGUCCAUUUAGUAUACGUAUUGGUACCUUACCGUGUAUGACCGGGGUCCGACAUGUUUAAGUAGCGUUCCGGCCAAUUCGACAUAUUGUUUUUAUAAGCGUUAGACGUUUUAUAGUAGCUUCUGUUCUUUUGUGGACUGGUAAUGAUGCAUACGGUGUACUGUCUUUGUAAAAGAUGACUGCCGUUUUCUUACAUAACAUCGUGUGUGAAAAGAUUCUCUUCAGAGAAGGGCGUGUACCUACGACUAGUACUACUCGAUGGUUAGUCAUGUCCUCUGCCCUGGUGGUCACAGUACCGGGAGAAAUAGUUCCCGCAGCUGUUGUUCCGAUGUGAGUGUUUCUUGACCUCGUCGAAGAAGGUAUUCCGUUUGUACUUCUUUCCUACACGUAUACGAAAGUGGAAGUUCAGCUGUAGACACCUACCCAAAAGCGACCGGAUGAGCUGGCACGCAAUGGGACGACGAAACCACCGAGGCCAAUCGUGAACCCGGUCACCACGUCACCGAACCCAAUAUUCACCGAGCCCACUCCCGGCGGAGGAGAGGAGGAGCUAAGAAGACGACGGCGUCGGUGGGGGGAGAGGAGAGGGGGUUAAGAGGGUGGUGGCGGCGGCGGAGAGCAGAGUAGGUACAUCGGUCCCGGAUCUGCAGUAGCCGAGUCAGGCGCCGCCAUACCUACUCCUCCGCUCUCGAAGUCUCCGUCCCCGCUCCUUCGUCUCUCAGGAAGGGCUCCCGCGGGGUUGGACGGUCUAGAAGGUUGAGUAACCGGGUCCGUUCCAUUUUUACAACCUAGGCCGCCACCGACCUUAGGGAAUAGCGGCUUCCUACCGCACGUACUGCAUACUGGUCUUUUAGUUAUCCGUCUACCUCGUCCUGCCCCACUGCUAAGGGCAAACCGCCGCAAGCGCACAAAACCGAUCGCCGGACGUGAAGGAAGAAGGGGACGGACCCCGCGGCGGUACCGGUCAUCCUCUUCGUGCCCACUGGCGUCGACUCGAAGGUACAUUCUAUCGGGGCUCGGGGGCUGUGUAGGAGACGGUGUGGUUGGAACGUCGUAGACCGGAAACGUCCUACGUCUUUUACUACCUCACGUACUACGAAGUCGUCUAAGACGUAAUAACAGUUUGCGAAAAGGACUCGAUACUGAACUGACCGAGGUCAGACCAAGUGGCGACGUAAAACAAACAACUACGGAACUGAAAAUCCGACAGUGUCGAUAAGAAGAAAGUAGAUAUAGGACUUCCUCUGGGCUACCGUACCGACAUGUUCACCGUGGGGGCCAGUCCACCUGCAACCUACGAAAGAAGUCACAAAGAGAAAAGGGCGUCCGAACUAAAGGAACACCAGCAUUGGGUUGAGGGUUUUCAAAGUGUUUUUGUAUUUGUACGAACCUACACACAGGAACGACCGCUGGAGCGACAGAGGUUGGGGAGGCAGACCUGUCAUGUUCUGAAGUGGUUUGAUAGUUAACUUCACGUCCAAGUUCCUAGACACCAUCCACAUAAAUCAAAAGGAUACUACUACCGUGUAAUACUUAUGAUAUGUGAGAGAAGUAAAGACAAAAGGGGAGGAUUCGGUAAAUAAGACAGAUGGUGUCUAUUGUUGUUGAUAGUGCAACCACUAAAGGGACUAUAGAGCAAGAUGUUCACACAGUAUACCUGGUUACUUUCUUUUAUAUAAAACCUCUAUUAUUGAUAUACCCGAUGAGGUUUACCUCCAGGAUUACACUACUUGCUGCACUACUCCCUCUAUCAGCUACAGGCACUACACCGACUACGAAACGCAUACCAUAUGUUCUUUGGCCUUAGUAGACCUUCUAUAUAGUCGCGUAGUUUGAUGUAAUGGUGUUUUCGGUACGACCUUAACAAUUCCUUCCGCGCGGGAUUGAUGUUAAUGCACUUCACCACCCAGAGAAUGGUACGCAAGGAACAUACGUCGUUUACCACGUAAGACAAAGGACUUGCCAGCACGAAACAAAGGUACCAAACU
rnacentral:rRNA from 1 species